UCUCUCUCUCUCUCUUAUGACCAUACUACCGUUCGUAAUGGGCGCUGAAGCGUACCUGAACCGUCCGAUUAAAAUGGAACGCCAAUAUCAAGUGACCCAGUCAGCCCGCGCUAGCUCAAGUGAUCAAGUCGUCUGCUCUGCUCUUUCUACGUCGCUUCCACGUCCUCCCCACAAACCCUCGGCCAUGGCAGGGUGCUCCCUCGACGAGACGAGGGCGGAGUUCUGCCGGAACUCUGCUGAGGCGACGCACUUGAAGUUGGUUUCAAUUAUAGUCAUUUUAGCGUCCAGCGCUGCUGGCAUCUCGUGUCCAGUGGCCCUCGCUCGCCUAUUCGCUAGAAGUCCGGCCUACGCCAACGCGCUUCUCGUCAUCAAGUGCUUCGCCGCCGGCGUCAUCCUUUCCACGUCUCUAGUCCAUGUCUUACCUGACGCCUUCGACGCCCUCGCCGACUGUCAGGUUGCUACUCGCCAUCCAUGGCGCGACUUCCCUUUUUCCGGCCUGGUAUCUCUCAUCGGUGUCCUCCUUGCCCUUCUUGUAGAUGUCACCGCUUCCUCCCACGCCUCCGAGGAUGCCACCAAGUAUGUGAGAAUUGGGCUAGAGGAGGUGGGAAAGGGGGUGGGGAAGCAGGUCUCGCCGUCUUCUGCGGCAGCGGAGGUAGCGGCGGUUGCGUGUCACGGGCAUGGGCAUCAGGGGGAAGAGGCGAUUGACGUGGGGAUAGAGGGAUUGGAUGAAGAGGAGCGAUUGGCGAAGUUGAAGCAGAGAAUGGUGUCGCAGGUGCUUGAGAUCGGGAUUAUUUUCCAUUCCGUGAUAAUUGGCUUGACAAUGGGGAUGUCGCAGAACCAGUGCACUAUUCGACCACUAGUAGCUGCCCUCGCCUUCCACCAAAUCUUCGAGGGGAUGGGACUUGGGGGAUGCAUAGCCCAGGCUGGUUUCGGAGUGGCAACUGUAGGGUACAUGUGCUUGAUGUUCUCGGUAACAACACCUAUUGGGAUACUGCUAGGAAUGCUCGUCUUCCAUAUGACCGGCUACGACGACAGCAGCCCAAAUGCUCUCAUUCUCGAAGGUCUGCUUGGUUCUCUUUCUUCUGGAAUCUUAGUUUAUAUGGCUCUUGUUGAUCUCAUAGCUGUAGAUUUCUUCCACAAUAAAGCAAUGUCCUCCAGUCCACGGUUAAAGAAGCUGUCUUAUAUUACAUUGGUGCUUGGAUCUGCAUCAAUGUCUAUACUUGCACUCUGGGCUUAGAAAUGCAACCACAUUGUACUGUGAAUGUGCAGUAUUUUCUCUGCAUACUAGAACAUAUCUCCCAUUCUUCUAUCGUUCACCAUAGAACACAUUUGGUGUGGAGACCAAAACUUCAAAAUUCACAGUAAGCAUGGAUGCUCUCACAUAAGAACUCGUGAAAGCAUGUGGUACAUGGACAGCGUAUGUUCAAGGCACAUGACUAGAGAUGUAGAUUAAUUCAUAUUGCUGGAGGCCAUGGUAGGAGGUAAUGUAAUACUUGGAGAUAACAUCACCAAGAAAGUGGUUGGAUGAGGUAUAAUUGACAAAUACAAGAAUUUCGUUAUUGAAACUAUUUUAUUGUUAGAUGCUUGAAACAUAAACUGUUAGUAUAAGUUAGCUUUGUGAUAAAUAAUUUAGCAUUAAAUUUA